rnacentral:misc_RNA from 1 species
UGAUUGAGAAAUAAUGGAUUUAUGAUUUUCUUGUUGGACUAAAUAUGGAGUAUGAUCAGAUAUGGAUUCAGGUUCUUAGUAAGGAGCCCAUGCCUUCGUUAAGGCAAACUUACUCUUAUAUACCGCAAGAGAAAAGUCGCAAAAAUGCCAUGAUUCAUUCUUUACUAGUUGACAAAGCAGGACUAAUAGUUGCUUCCUCUAAAG